CCGCGCUCCGCCACCGCCCUCCGGCCACCGCCGCUGCGUGCUCCGCGGCGCUUCCCAGCGCGCCGGAUCCCGGGGAAUUGCGCCAGGCCCCGCCCCGCGUCGCCUCGGGGCUCCCUGGGACUUGUAGUCCGCGGCCGGGCCCGCGCGUGGGACGGCGGAGCGCGCGGGAGGCCCGCAGGGUCCCGGCCCCGGCCCCGGUCCGGCCCCCUCGGCGUCCCCGAGCCACCUGGCCCCGUCCCCUGCCUCGGCACCUGGACGCGGCGCGCCAGCCUGCCAGCGCUCUUGUUUGUGUCCGAGCGCCUGGCCCGACGCACCUCUGCGCCCGCCGACUCCCACGACCCCUGUCUGCUGGCGGCCUCACUCCCCCUUCCGUUACUUUCUGCCUCCCUCUUCUGGAUAUGCACACGGCGCGAGUGCUUCCGAGACCAACUGCUACCAAGACCUUCCUGAGCCCACGCCGGCGGAAGGCCAGGCUGCACCGGUGAACUGAAGUUUCCGGGGAUGUGAGGUGCGGCCAGAUACCACGGGGGCUUCCUCGGUAUCCUUUUCCGCUAUCUUUGUUUUUUAAUUUGAGCAGUGGGUCUCGAGUGCCGCGAGGCUCCGAAACCCCUGUCCACUCACCCCACCCAAUCCCAGACUUUUUCAUCCUAGCACCUUGAGCCUAGCAUUGCACCAGGAAUCAUUCACACACUCUGGAUUCAGCCACCUCUGAAAAAGCCCCAUCUGGUUCUUCAUGAGGCUUUCGGGGGCAUCUAGACACAGCCACAAGACCCUUCAAAGACUCUGUCUCCAAACACAGUCACAUUCUGCUGUCAACUUGUGAGUUUUCGGGGACACAGCUCAGCCCACGACAGUGCCUCUCCUGAAGGACGUCUCUGCUUCCAGCCCAUCUUGACCUUUGUGGUCACCCUGGCCUUCUUGCACUUCAACGCACGCCGCCUCAGUACAUUGCCAGGUUCCCCUGCCAGGACAGCGCCUCCCCAGCACCCUCUCUGGCUCCACCACUCCUUCCUGUACUUACUCCCAAGCCACUUGCUCAGCGAGACCUUUGCCACCUUACCCAAAGUCACAUCCCUUCUCAUUGACACUUUGUGUCUCCAUUCCUUGCUGUGGUGGAAAGAAUGAUGGUCCCUGAAGAAGAACCACAAAUGUGUUACCUGAAAUGGCACAAGGGACCCUGCCGCUGUGCCUGCGUUAAGGGCCUCGAGAUGGAGAGGUGAUCCUGGGCCGGCUCCAGCGUCAUCGAAGGGGUCAGAGUCAGACAAGAGAUGUGAUGGCAGAUGCCGGGGCAGGGUGGGGGCCUGAUGGUAAGAUGCUGCUGUGGCAGCUUGAAAGGCAGAGGAAGGGGCCACGAGCCAAGGAGUGUAGACGUCUCUGGAAGCCAGAAAAGGCAAGAACUUAGACUCUUUCCCAGAAACCCCAGAAAAAAACCCAGCUGUAUUGACCUAUGCUGGACUUCUGACCUUUGGAACAACAUAAUAAACUCAUGUUGCUUAAGCCACUUAAAUCCAUGCUAAUUUUCCUAAUAAUAGGAAGCUAAUACCCUUCCUUGGUUUUUUUCUUAGCACUUACUCAUGUCUAAAUGACCUCCUACUUAUCUUGAAUAUGUCCAUGCCGCCCAUUAGAACAUGAGUUCCAUUGGCCAGGAUCUUGUCUGUUUUUUUCUCCAUUCUAACCCCAGCCCCUAUAACAGUGCCUGACGCAUAGUAGGUGCCUGAUGCAAAGUGUGUGCCAAACUAGUGGCUUCCCUGUUAAAUUGUAACUGCCAUGCAGACAAGGACCACAGUGUACCUGGGAAUACAGAGACUUCCCUUCAGCUGCAGAAGCUCCCCUCUCUGCAUGCCAGGCACAUAGUAAGUGCUCAAUAAAACCUAGCUGAAUUAAAACAGAAGUUGCACACAAUUGGUUCUUACAGGAUCUAUGUCUUUAUUUCUUUUGCAUUUUUAAGUCAGUGUUUAUUUUUGGAGUUCUAAAGAUUAUCUUCCUGAUAUGUAAGAAAAAUGAGCAGUAGAAUUAUUUAAGGUGGCUUUAAAAAAAGAUUUUCAUAUUUAUUGGAUAUCAUUUAAACUAAUUUAGUGGAAUAUAUAAACUCAGCAUCCCUAAUCCAAAGUCCAGAACUUUUUGAGCACCAACAUGAGACCACAAAUGGAAUAUUCCACACCAUGAAACUUUAGUUUCAUGCACAAAAUUAUUAAAAGUAUUGUAUAAAGGGGUGGGGAAUUUAGCUCAGUGGUGCCACCCCCUGCCUCGCAAGCAUGAGUUCCUGAGUUCGAUCCCUGGUACCAAAAAAAGAAAAAAGUAUUGUAUAAAGUUACCUACCUUCAGGGUAUGGGUCUGAGUUGUGUAUGAAACAUAAGUGAAUUUUAUAUUUAAAUGUGGAUCCCUCCUCAAAAUUUCUCAUUAUGCAUGUACAAACAUUCCAAAAUCUCCCUGCCCCAAAAUCUGAAACAGGAAACACUUCUGCUCCACCUGGAUAAAGGAUUUUCAAUUUGUAAUAGCUUUUAUUAAGAUUUUCAAAAUCUCAUUGAAAUUGCAAAUGAUUCCUAGUUGAAAUCCAAGUUUAUCUUUCUAAAAUAAAGGUACUUGUAGAUCCUCAAGGGGCCCUUAAAAACUCUUAGAGAACUUUAGGGGUGACCAGAAGGUGGGGUUCACAAAGGGUAGGGCCGAGCACAAACGGAGCACUGGAUGCUACUUUUCGGGGCAGUUUCCCAGUCCUUGUUCAUGGCCAUCCCCUACCUGACUGUUGCCUUCAGGACCCCACUCCUGCCUCUGCCCUCCCCUCCUCUUUCUUGAGAGCAGAUGCACCUCCCGCAGUCUCAGCCCACCAUGGUAUACUGAUCAUGAUGCUUUAAUAGGUUGAGAAAUCAGUUUAUCUUUUUUUUUUUUUGGUACUGGGGAUCGAACUCAGGACCUUGCACUUGUGAGGCUGGCAGCGGCACCACUGAGCUAAAUCCCCAGCCCCAGAAAUCAGUUUAUCAAUAAAUGAAUUGUGCAGGAUUGGGUAGCACAGGAAAGGGUAGGAUAAGACAUUAGGUUAUCACAGGUGGUGGGGAUCAGUUCUGUUCAAGGUAAGGUUUUUGUUUGGUUGGUUUGUUGUGGAUGUUGUUGUUGUUGUUUUGGUG
rnacentral:lncRNA from 1 species